rnacentral:misc_RNA from 1 species
AGCACAUUGGGUUAGAGGAUAGAAUGAAAAGAAGAGGUAAACCUAAACUGACUUGGAGGAGAGUUGUAUAACAUGACCUAGAAGCAUUAUAUAUUCUCAAGGAUUUAACCCAAAAUAGUUUAGUUUGGAGAAAAAAAAUCCAUAUAGCCGACCUUAAAUUUUUGGGAUAAAAACUCAGUUGAGUUGAGCAUUAGAGCAAGUAUAUGAGAUACGUACAAUAACACAAAUUUACGAACUCAAACGAAAAACAGUAUUACACGACGUAUGUAAAUGAUUUCAGGGCUCAAAUACAAUGGCAAUCAGUGACACACAGAUUGCCGUGGCUUUUGGUAUAGUUCCCACAUAAAGUGAAAAAUUGACAACCCCAUUUUCAAUUGUAAUAUGGAAUAAUAAUAUAUUUCACUGACCACUAUUGUUUCUCUACAAUCUCCAUUAACAAGUAAUCCAAAAUUGAUCUCCUUAGCUGCCUUUUGUACUAUUUAUUUUAUUAUCCUAUUGAUUUGUUUUUCCAAUUCUUCAAGGCCACCAACUUCUUCAACUUCCUUAGGUCCCAGGAACAGCCCAUAUGGAACACCAUUGAAUUUAUCCGAGUGAUGGAGCUGGUGGGCAGCAGCUACCUUCCUGAAAUAGGGCACGUUCGCAAUGGGACCCACUGGGAAUCUCUUGUGAACAAGACCAUCGUGGACAAACAUGUAGGCCAUCCCAAACACUGUAAUUCCAAGACCCUGCUCCAAGUCAAAUAGUCAUUAUGAGAGUUUUUUAAGGGCAUUUUAGUCACAAAUUAAUUUUGUCAUUUACCAUUAAUUUUUAAAUGAUUAAACCGUUAAUCAAGGAGCAAAAUCUGAUCAAGAAAGAUAUUGGACAGAGAAACUGAAACUUACUGCCCCAAAGCAAAGACCAGGAAAGAGGCCUUUAUUGAAGAAGCCAUAGGAGAGAAGUCCUAUAGCUGGGACUGCAUUGGUUAUUGCAAAUACAUCAUUUAGCUCAAAUGGACCUUCUCUGGGUCGAUGGUGAGACUGCAAUCGAAAAGAAUUCUCAAUAAUCCUUUCUGUUUGGUUGCAAAGAAAACGCAAUAGAAAGAGAAGAAAAUGAGAAAUUUUAUUAAGUUCUUGUCCUGCCGUUUCUAAUAUGAUCCAAGAUUCAUACUCGAAAAUUUUAAAUUCUCCUUUUAUUAAUUACUCCUUGCAGUUCCAUUGAAUUUUGAAACAGGGAGGAGCAUAUCAAUUAUCAUACCUCGUGCAUAUGCCAUAAGGAAGCAUGCCAGAGAGCUCUAUGAGCCCAUCUUGCCCAAAACUCCAUCCCUACCUGAAACAAAAAACCCAAUUCGAUUCAACGUAAACAACAAGAACUACCCAAAUUGGAUAGAAAAGAAGGAAGAAAAUUGGAAAUCUGUACUUACAGCAGCGCCCACUGAGAGAGAAAAUGUGCCAAACAUUUCGAGCAAAGGCACCUCUCCACCCUACGCCAUAAAGUAUCCAAUUUCAGAAUACAUCUACAUGGAAACAUAAUUGUGAAACUAGAGAUAAAGAAGAAUAUUAUAAAGUACCUCCAUUUGCCAAUAGAACCUGUAGUAACAAGCCAUAACAGCCAUGGAAGUAAUCCCAAAACUCGACAUCACAGCAGCAACCAAGUAAGUAAACCUCUCAGACCUCUUCCUAGACAAUCUCUCCGCCACACGAGGCGUCAAGAUCUGGUAAUUUACUUCUUCGGACCGUUCUGGUUUAUGAUUCUCGAUCUGGACACUCUGUUUUGAGUCUUCGAGGACAAAACAGAUAGCGAAGCUGGUUUUCCUUCGACCAACACGAAAUAAACUGUGAUAUCGAGUUGGAGAAGGAAUUGAGAAAAGUGAAGUGGUUAUGGGCUUUGGGAAGAGAUUGGAAGCAUGGAUAUAAAGGAAGGGCUUGAAGACGGGCGCGGCGGAUAAUCCAGCAGCCAUCGAAGGGAGGUGGGUUAAACGCUUGAGAGCUUUCGAGCUUGAGAUAUAUACAGGGAGGGAGAGCGAGCGGGAGAGAGUGGGAGAGGGGUAGGCCAGUAGGGUGCUGGAGAGAGAGGUAUGUCGUGGUUGUGGAGAGGUUUUAGCGUGAACUGCGAGUUGUGGAGGGUUUGGAGCAAAUGGUUAAAUGCACGAAAACCACAUCUCUUUUUUUUGUUUGGGGGGUGGGGGGU